GGAACAGCCGCCCCGGGAGCCUGGGAUAGGGAGUUUCGCUCUUGCUGCCCAGGCUAGAGUGCAAUGGCGCGAUCUCGGCUCACCGCAACCUCCGCCUCCUGGGUUCAAGCAGUUCUCCUGCCUCAGCCCCCCGGGUUCAAGCAACUCUCCUGCCUCAGCCUCCCGAGUAGCUGGGAUUACAGGCAUGCGCCACCACACCUGGCUAAUUUUGUAUUUUUAGUAGAGACGGGGUUUCUCCAUGUUGGUCAGGCUGGUCUCUAUCUCCCGACUUCGGGUGAUCCGCCUGCCUCGGCCUCCCAAAGUGCUGGGAUUAUAGGCAUGAGCCACUGCGCCCAGCCUCCCUAACCUGAUCUUUAAUUCCCCUCCUGCCUCCCAUGACAACUCAAGUUAGUGGCACUAGUAAAGUUACAGAAAUUAUGUGCCUUAGCCAUGGGAAACCGGCCCUCUGUAAACUGUUAUUAAAGCCAUAACAAAUAAUAUCCGACAGCCUGUACCUACUAGUGUUCAGUUCCUGGUACUCCAGAGCCCUAAGCGUUUUUGGGCAGUGGUUGGGGGGCUGCCACCAGGCCUCAACUUGGGUUAGGAAGAUAGGGCAAGGGUGCAAGGCCCGUCUCUGCACAGAGGGUGGGAGAGAGGAGUAACUACAUAGUAGGUGCUUGGUAAGCACUUUC
rnacentral:lncRNA from 1 species